AGCAGUAGCCGCGGUAAUACGAAGGGUGGAAGCGUUACUCGGAAUUACUGGGCGUAAAGCGUGCGUAGGUGGUGGUUUAAGUCCGUUGUGAAAGCCCUGGGCUCAACCUGGGAAUUGCAGUGGAUACUGGGUCACUAGAGUGUGGUAGAGGAUAGUGGAAUUUCCGGUGUAGCAGUGAAAUGCGUAGAGAUCGGAAGGAACAUCUGUGGCGAAGGCGACUAUCUGGGCCAACACUGACACUGAGGCACGAAAGCGUGGGGAGCAAACAGGAUUAGAUACCCCAGUAGUCCCUGUCUCUUAUAC
rnacentral:rRNA from 1 species